rnacentral:tRNA from 1 species
GCCAGCGUAGCUCAAUGGUGGAGCAAAGAUUUCAUAAGUCUGAGGUUACUGGUUCGAAUCCAGUCGUUGGCA